AUCUUGCACAAUGGGGGAAACCCUGAUGCAGCAACGCCGCGUGAGUGAAGAAGGCCCUUGGGUUGUAAAGCUCUUUCGGCUGGGAAGAAGGGUUUAGGUGUUAAUACCACUUAGAUCUGACGGUACUAGAAGAAGAAGCACCGGCUAAUUCCGUGCCAGCAGUCGCGGUAAUACGGAAGGUGCAAGCGUUGUUCGGAUUGACUGGGCGUAAAGCGCACGUAGGCGGGUUUGCAAGUCGGAUGUGAAAGCCCCGGGCUUAACCUGGGAACAGCACCCGAAACUGCAGAUCUUGAAUGUCCGAGAGGUUGGUGGAAUUCCUGGUGUAGGAGUGAAAUCCGUAGAUAUCAGGAGGAAGAUCGGCGGCGAAGGCGGCCAACUGGUGGAACAUUGACGCUGAGGUGCGAAAGCGUGGGGAGCAAAC
rnacentral:rRNA from 1 species